rnacentral:rRNA from 1 species
UACGAAGGGGACUAGCGUUGUUCGGAAUCACUGGGCGUAAAGCGCACGUAGGCGGAUUCGUAAGUCAGGGUGAAUCCGGGCUCAACCUCGGAACUGCCUUUGAUACUGCGGUCGUUGAGUCCGAUAGAGGUGGGUGGAAUUCCUAGUGUAGAGGUGGAAAUUCGAUAGAUAUUAGGAAGAACACCGGUGGCGAAGGCGGCCCACUGGAUCGGUACUGACGCUGAGGUGCGAAAGCGUGGGGAGCAAACAGG